CCAGGCUGACUGCUGAGGGAGGAAGGACUCUGGCUUGCUGUAGAGGGAAACUGCUAGACCAGCACCAUUGAAGCAAGAGUUGGCAAAAUGAUUCAGAAGGAAAACGCCCCAGGAGCACAGGGAGGUGCUGGGUCCAUGAACACCUCCACAGCAAAGCAUCCACAGGAUGGAGGCCUCCAGCCAGCGACCAGGCAGACUAAGAAAGCAACAUCCACUGGAAGUAAGAUUUGUUGCUGUCAUACUGAAAAAUAGCAGGGAUGAAGAAUGUACUUGAAGCUACCGGUGUACCUCUUUAUUUUCCUGAACAAUCACUGCUGUGUACGUCUAGGGAAAGUAGCCUUCAUGCUAAACAGAGAAAAGCUAGUGGAAGUAUGUCUUUUGCAUUAGAGAACUUUCUUCCAUAAAGAUCGUCAAAGACCAGGAGGGCCCAGACAACCUCACAGGGCUGCUGCAGUCCAUCUGUCUGCACGAGAGCAGAGUGGUCCCUUGCCACUGUCCUCUCCCAGAGCUCCAGCAGGAGCAGCUGCUCCACCGCCUAUUUGCCCUCUUUAGGACAAAUAUCAGGACGCUGUCACCAAGCUACUUUAUCACCUAUUUGUAAGUAUUGCAACUUGCCUUAUCAAUAGACAUCUGCCCCAUCAGAACCUCGAAUUCAGCUACUGACCUUUGUUGUCAUUCAUGCUCUUUAUGGUACGUUGAUUCAAGAGCAGGAUAGCAGGUCAGUAGCAGAAAGAGAAGCAGACCUGCACCAAAGGGUGUAUGAGCCCUGCAUGCUGCUGUAGAUACGUGGUGAGUUUGGAGAAUCUACUGCUUUCUGCUGUUUCUAAAACAGCAAUUGUUAUUUAUCAUUCCCUGUUUCCCAAGAUAAAUAAAAUAGCAAACUACUUUUUAGUAUACUGAGUUUUCCUGCGUGGAUAUUCCUACUUUACUUUUAAAAGUAUUGCUGUUGAAGGAAUAAUUUUUAAAUGUAUCAGAAUAGUUGGGAUCCAAAAGAAGUCUAUAUUCAGUGGCGUGAAUAUGAAAGAGAACUCAGGAGCACAGCAGACUUGUAUUAGGAA